rnacentral:rRNA from 1 species
GACGAACGCUGGCGGCGUGCCUAAUACAUGCAAGUCGAACGCUGAAGGAGGAGCUUGCUUCUCUGGAUGAGUUGCGAACGGGUGAGUAACGCGUAGGUAACCUGCCUGGUAGCGGGGGAUAACUAUUGGAAACGAUAGCUAAUACCGCAUAAUAGCAGUUGUUGCAUGAUAACUGUUUGAAAGGUGCAAUUGCACCACUACCAGAUGGACCUGCGUUGUAUUAGCUAGUUGGUGGGGUAACGGCUCACCAAGGCGACGAUACAUAGCCGACCUGAGAGGGUGAUCGGCCACACUGGGACUGAGACACGGCCCAGACUCCUACGGGAGGCAGCAGUAGGGAAUCUUCGGCAAUGGACGGAAGUCUGACCGAGCAACGCCGCGUGAGUGAAGAAGGUUUUCGGAUCGUAAAGCUCUGUUGUAAGAGAAGAACGAGUGUGAGAGUGGAAAGUUCACACUGUGACGGUAGCUUACCAGAAAGGGACGGCUAACUACGUG